rnacentral:pre_miRNA from 1 species
AGUGAAAUAUCUGGAUUAUCUGAUGACUCUAUAUUUAGCUUUUGGGGAUACUGCCAAACUAUUUUCCAAAGUGGCUGCACCAUCUUAUAUUCCCACCAGCAAU